rnacentral:lncRNA from 1 species
GCAUAAGAAGGGAAUGUCUCAAUGUCAAAGCCUUUCGGACAUCACUUGCUUUUGCAAACACGCUCAUUCUCUAGCAUUCUUCUUUUUUUUUGUUUCAUCUUUUUCUUUUCUCAUUUUCUUUUCACUUUCUUUGGCUGUUUUUCCUUUCUUUUUUUCAUUUUUCUUUUCUUUUGCAUUUUCAUUCUUUUCUUUUUCUCUUAUUUGAUCUACAGAAUUUUUCAAAUUUAUUUGAUCCUCGUGUACUUGCUUCGGCAUCAAUGGUGCUAACGUCUCGCUUUUUCCCAUAUGUUUGAACGUAUACCUAUUGGCAUACCCGUCAUGGAGGACUCGUCUAUCAAAUUGCCAUGGGCGUCCAAGUAACAAAU